AACGAACGCUGGCGGCAUGCCUAACACAUGCAAGUCGAACGAGACCUUCGGGUCUAGUGGCGCACGGGUGCGUAACGCGUGGGAACCUGCCCUUAGGUUCGGAAUAACUCCCCGAAAGGGGUGCUAAUACCGGAUAAUGUCUUCGGACCAAAGAUUUAUCGCCUUUGGAUGGGCCCGCGUUGGAUUAGCUAGUUGGUAGGGUAAAAGCCUACCAAGGCGACGAUCCAUAGCUGGUCUGAGAGGAUGAUCAGCCACACUGGGACUGAGACACGGCCCAGACUCCUACGGGAGGCAGCAGUGGGGAAUAUUGGACAAUGGGCGAAAGCCUGAUCCCGCAAUGCCGCGUGAGUGAUGAAGGCCUUAGGGUUGUAAAGCUCUUUUACCCGGGAUGAUAAUGACAGUACCGGGAGAAUAAGCUCCGGCUAACUCCGUG
rnacentral:rRNA from 1 species